UACGUAGGGGGCGAGCGUUGUCCGGAGUUACUGGGCGUAAAGCGCACGCAGGCGGUCUGCUAAGUUUGGAGUGACAGUUGGUGGCUCAACCACCAAAGUGCUUUGAAAACUGACAGACUUGAGGGCUUCAGAGGGACACGGAAUCCGGGUGGAGUGGUGAAAUGCGUAGAGAUCCGGAGGAACACCGAAGGCGAAGGCAGUGUCCUGGGGAGUACCUGACGCUCAGGUGCGGAAAGCAUGGGGAGCGAACAGG
rnacentral:rRNA from 1 species